ensembl:lncRNA
CUGAGAUCUUAUAACAGUGGCUAUUAAGACACUCACAAACUGGAACCUGAGGUUAACAAAACUCUUUUGUGCUUAAAAUUUUUUUUUUGCUCACUUUCACAAGACUUUAGCCUAAAUGUUCACUCCAAGAUCUUGUCUGCAUGUUGCUUUGUCUGAUGUCCACCUCAGGACGCCCACGAAUUCCUGGUGUUCUGCCUUCUCCAAAUAAAAGUAGAGUGGGAAGCCUUCAGUCCGCUGGGGCAGUCGCUCAGGUGCCCUGUGGCCAGCCUGGAAUUCCAGCUCCUCUCUGUGCGCACCUGCCACAGGUAAGACCUUCCACACAGUGAAUGACUGUCCACAUCCAAUGUUUAAAAUCUAGAGACUUACAGAACCUACAAAGCAUUUUUUAAGUAGAAAAGAGUGACAUGUGUUUUUGUCCCAUUGAAGUUGUGGACAAAGUGUGCGGUCAAGGCAGGACUACAACCACCUCUCCAUCCCAGCAUCCCGCCAAGGCACACUGACAGACAGCCUGGACCACUUUUUCAAGACCACGGAGCUGGAGUGUGUCUGCAGCUUCUGCUCAGGGAAGCAAGCAUCAAUGGAGCUACGCUUCUUCUCCCUGCCACGGUAUGUGCUGGCACUUCGACUAGUGCGUAACUUGCAAUUACAGAAGUUACAUUCCUGCACUUCUUUUUCUUUUUUCUUUCAUUUUGUUAUAUUUCUUAUGUAAAGUAGUUUUUAUUGUUACACCAGGUUCUAUUGCUCGUAGCUUGACUAUUCUCUCCCUUGUACGUCGCUUUGGACAAAAGCGUCUGCUAAAUGACCAAAUGUAAAUAUAAAUGUAAAUGUAAAUGUAAAUGUAAAUGUGCUAUGUGCCACAGAGGUGAAUUAAGAAAUGUACAGUUCAAUAAUCCACUGUUUUAAACUUACUUGUCCUUCUCACUUUAUGCCCACCACCUCAUUUGCAGGGUUCUCGUGCUUCAUCUAAACAGGUUCACUGAUAGCAGGUCUCUUCAGAAAAGCGAAAUCGAGAUCCCUGUGGAGCUCAGCCUCUCUUGCCAUCAGAGAGGAAGGUCCUUGGGGCAGCUUAUGGGGUAGGCAUGCGCCAUUACUACACAAGGCAUAACACAGGGCUACUACAUGCACAGAAUUAUGGGUAAACUCACCACACCCGGAACACAAACAUAGGACCCCUGCACGCUAGAUUAUAUUUUGUUAAAUCCAUAUGUAUGAACCAUUCACCUUAUCUUUGACUUGGAUGGAAGUAAAAAUGUAUGUGGACCAAAUCGACCACAACUAAACCAAUUAAAAUAAUAAUAAUUUUUUUUUUUUUUUUUUUUUCAAUCUCUAGCAUUCCCAGUACAUCACCCGAGCCACUGGACACCCAAGAGCAGCCAGAUGUCACCCUGCUUCCUGACUAUCUUGGGGUUGACGACAGUAUGGAGAUGCCAUUUUACACCCCUCCAACAUCUCCUCCAGCUAUCAGCCAUGGUAAAGGGGAGCUACAGAGCCACACUCACAUCAGCAUAAACAUACAGGAACGAUCAAACUAAUUCUAGUCUUAGAUAAUGUCUGCAUGGGUGUACUGAGCAACU